GACGAACGCUGGCGGCGUGCUUAACACAUGCAAGUCGAACGGAAAGGCCCUGCUUUUGUGGGGUGCUCGAGUGGCGAACGGGUGAGUAACACGUGAGUAACCUGCCCUUGACUUUGGGAUAACUUCAGGAAACUGGGGCUAAUACCGGAUAGGAGCUCCUGCUGCAUGGUGGGAGUUGGAAAGUUUCGGCGGUUGGGGAUGGACUCGCGGCUUAUCAGCUUGUUGGUGGGGUAGUGGCUUACCAAGGCUUUGACGGGUAGCCGGCCUGAGAGGGUGACCGGCCACAUUGGGACUGCGAUACGGCCCAGACUCCUACGGGAGGCAGCAGUGGGGAAUAUUGCACAAUGGGCGGAAGCCUGAUGCAGCAACGCCGCGUGCGGGAUGACGGCCUUCGGGUUGUAAACCGCUUUCGCCUGUGACGAAGCGUGAGUGACGGUAAUGGGUAAAGAAGCACCGGCUAACUACGUG
rnacentral:rRNA from 1 species